AGUGAACGCUGGCGGUAGGCCUAACACAUGCAAGUCGAACGGCAGCACAGUAAGAGCUUGCUCUUACGGGUGGCGAGUGGCGGACGGGUGAGGAAUACAUCGGAAUCUACUUUUUCUUGGGGGAUAACGUAGGGAAACUUACGCUAAUACCGCAUACGACCUACGGGUGAAAGCAGGGGAUCUUCGCACCUUGCGCGAUUGAAUGAGCCGAUGUCGGAUUAGCUAGUUGGCGGGGUAAAGGCCCACCAAGGCGACGAUCCGUAGCUGGUCUGAGAGGAUGAUCAGCCACACUGGAACUGAGACACGGUCCAGACUCCUACGGGAGGCAGCAGUGGGGAAUAUUGGACAAUGGGCGCAAGCCUGAUCCAGCCAUACCGCGUGGGUGAAGAAGGCCUUCGGGUUGUAAAGCCCUUUUGUUGGGAAAGAAAAGCAGCAGGUUAAUACCCCGCUGUUCUGACGGUACCCAAAGAAUAAGCACCGGCUAACUUCGUG
rnacentral:rRNA from 1 species